CUCCUGGCCGGGCUCUGGCCACGCGAUGGUUUGUGUCUCGGGCAGCAGAGAACUAGUCCUGGUCUAAGCCAAGGUGAACCCGAGGACCAAGGUCCUGGUCCCAUGAGGAGCAGAGCACCUUUCCUGGAGCUCUGUGCCUUCGCUGGAGGAUGGAGGAUUGAGGCCUCGGCGGCUAGCAGGGUCAGGUAUCUAGUGGGUUACAUGCAGACACUGGAAAAGUAGAUUGGCUCUUGGCUGGAUUCAGCUAUAGCCGCCGGCUGAGAAGCCUGGAGGUGUGAUGGGAGGAGGCUGGUUUGGAGAAGCACCCCAUGCUCGGUUGCUUUUCCUCACCUACAAACUAGCUCAAGCUCGAGUCCGCCCACCUGGGCUGGGAUUGGAUGGGAACAGGCCCCCGGGACGAGGGAAAAGGGGGGCCAUUAACCAAGCGUUUUGGACACCUUGAGUUUGAGUUGAAGGUUUGGGUUUAUUGUUGGUUUGCUCUGUGCUGGCUUGUCCACCCCGCAGGCGG